AAUUCGAUUAGUUUGAUCAUGGCUCAGGACGAACGCUGGCGGCGUGCCUAACACAUGCAAGUCGAACGGGACCGGGGGCAACUCCGGUUCAGUGGCGGACGGGUGCGUAACACGUGAGGAACAUGACCUUCGGCGGGGGAUAGCCGGCCCAACGGCCGGGUAAUACCGCGUACGACCACUCUGGGACAUCCCUAGGUGGUGAAAGCAGCAAUGCGCCGAUGGAGUGCCUCGCGGCCUAUCAGCUAGUUGGUGAGGUAACGGCUCACCAAGGCAACGACGGGUAGCUGGUCUGAGAGGAUGGCCAGCCACAUUGGGACUGAGACACGGCCCAGACUCCUACGGGAGGCAGCAGUGGGGAAUAUUGCGCAAUGGACGAAAGUCUGACGCAGCGACGCCGCGUGUGGGAUGACGGUCUUCGGAUUGUAAACCACUGUCGGGAGGGACGAAUACGCCGCAAGGCGGGUGACGGUACCUCCAAAGGAAGCACCGGCUAACUCCGUGCCAGCAGCCGCGGUAAUACGGAGGGUGCGAGCGUUGUCCGGAAUCACUGGGCGUAAAGGGCGCGUAGGCGGCCUGAUAAGUAGGGGGUGAAAUCCUGCGGCUCAACCGCAGGGCUGCCUUCUAAACUGUCAGGCUCGAGCACAGUAGAGGCAGGUGGAAUUCCCGGUGUAGCGGUGGAAUGCGUAGAGAUCGGGAAGAACAUCAGUGGCGAAGGCGG
rnacentral:rRNA from 1 species